rnacentral:rRNA from 1 species
AACGAACGCUGGCGGCAUGCCUAACACAUGCAAGUCGAACGAGACCUUCGGGUCUUUUGACGCACGGGUGCGUAACCCAAGGGAACCUGCACUUAGGUUCGGAAUACCUCCCCGAAAGGGGUACUAACACCGGAUGAUGUCUUCGGCCCAAAGAUUUUUCGCCUUUGGUUGGGCCCGCGUUGGAUUAGCUAGUUGGUAGGGUAAAAGCCUACCAAGGCGACGAUCCAUAGCUGGUCUGAGAGGAUGGUCCGCCACACUUGGACUGAGACACGGCCCAGACUCCUACGGGAGGCAGCAGUGGGGGAUAUUGGAACGUGGGCGAAGGGCUGAUGCAGCAAUGACGGGUGAGCGAUGAAGGCAGUGGAGUUGUAGUGCUCUUUUAACCGGGAUGAUAAUGACGGUACCGAGCGAAUAAGCCACGGCUAACUACGUG